rnacentral:rRNA from 1 species
CCUACGGGAGGCUGCAGUGGGGAAUAUUGGACAAUGGGGGCAACCCUGAUCCAGCCAUGCCGCGUGUGUGAAGAAGGCCCUCGGGUUGUAAAGCACUUUCAGUGAGGAAGAACGCCUGGUGGUUAAUACCCAUCAGGAAAGACAUCACUCACAGAAGAAGCACCGGCUAACUCCGUGCCAGCAGCCGCGGUAAUACGGAGGGUGCGAGCGUUAAUCGGAAUUACUGGGCGUAAAGCGCGCGUAGGUGGCUUGAUAAGCCGGUUGUGAAAGCCCCGGGCUCAACCUGGGAACGGCAUCCGGAACUGUCAAGCUAGAGUGCAGGAGAGGAAGGUAGAAUUCCCGGUGUAGAGGUGAAAUGCGUAGAGAUCGGGAGGAAUACCAGUGGCGAAGGCGGCCUUCUGGACUGACACUGACACUGAGGUGCGAAAGCGUGGGUAGCAAACAGGAUUAGAUACCCUUGUAGUC